ACCAGAAAGAUGCACUGAGACUGUUGAACAAGGGACACAAACAAAGUGACACAUACACAACUAAUCACAUCAAAUUAAGAAUAUGUAUGUCUGAACAUUCACCAGCGAUAUGGAAAAUAUAGCCAAGUAUCUAUCCGUUUUUCCCGAGUCACGAUUCAACAGCGGACGUCUUAGUAGAACCAUAACGCAACGACGGGUCGAGAGCAGUUCCCAGAUUCCAUGACAGGACGGUGACGCUGGUACAAAAUAUGCAAAUCCCCACUAAAACUUAUUCAGCUCUUGGACACUUCCGAAUGACUGACUGACUGGUAUAAGAUGACGGUGCUAGACAGAGUCUGCCUUGGUGUAGAUCCGUACGGCGACGGCCAGGCCCAGUAUCGCGAGGGGGACCAAGAACUGGAGGAUCUUGAUGACGAACUCGGGGGUCUUGUCCUGGUUGUAGUGCGGCUGCUUGGGCGGCGUGUACUUGACCUUGGUGGGUAUCGUGGUCGCGUCGAUCUCGCCGACGUAGUACUCGUCCAUCAUCGCCCGGGCGGUUGUGCU
rnacentral:lncRNA from 1 species